CUUUGGCCUCAAAUCAGGUAGGACUACCCGCUGAACUUAAGCAUAUCAAUAAGCGGAGGAAAAGAAACUAACAAGGAUUCCCCUAGUAACGGCGAGUGAAGCGGGAAGAGCUCAAAUUUAAAAUCUGGCGGUCUACGGCCGUCCGAGUUGUAAUCUAGAGAGGUGUUUUCCGUGCCGGACCGUGUACAAGUCCCUUGGAACAGGGCGUCAUAGAGGGUGAGAAUCCCGUCCAUGACACGGACUACCGGUGCUCUGUGAUACACCUUCGAAGAGUCGAGUUGUUUGGGAAUGCAUCUCAAAAUGGGUGGUAAAUUCCAUCUAAAGCUAAAUACAGGCGAGAGACCGAUAGCGAACAAGUACCGUGAGGGAAAGAUGAAAAGAACUUUGGAAAGAGAGUUAAACAGUACGUGAAAUUGUUGAAAGGGAAACGCUUGAAGUCAGUCGCGUCCGCCGGGACUCAGCCUUGCUUUUGCUAGGUGCAUUUCCUGGUGGAUGGGCCAGCAUCGAUUUUGGUCGCCGGAAAAGGGUGGGAGGAAUGUGGCAGCUUGCUGUGUUAUAGCCUCCUGUCGUACACGGUGAUUGGGAUCGAGGACUGCAGCACGCCUUUUGGUCGGGGUUCGCCCACGCCACGUGCUUAGGAUGCUGGCGUAAUGGCUUUAAACGACCCGUCUUGAAAC
rnacentral:rRNA from 1 species